rnacentral:rRNA from 1 species
UAAGGAAUAUUGGUCAAUGGACGCAAGUCUGAACCAGCCAUGCCGCGUGAAGGAUUAAGGCCCUCUGGGUUGUAAACUUCUUUUAUAGGGGAAGAAAUGUGACGGUUCUCCGUCACUUGACGGUACCCUGGGAAUAAGCACCGGCUAGCUCCGUGCCAGCAGCCGCGGUAAUACGGAGGGUGCAAGCGUUAUCCGGAUUCACUGGGUUUAAAGGGUGCGUAGGUGGGCAGAUAAGUCAGUGGUGAAAUCUUCCGGCUUAACCGGGAAACUGCCGUUGAUACUAUUUGUCUUGAAUAUUGCGGAGGUAAGCGGAAUAUGUCAUGUAGCGGUGAAAUGCUUAGGUAUGACAUAGAACACCAAUUGCGAAGGCAGCUUACUACACAAUCAUUGACACUGAGGCACGAAAGCGUGGGUAGCGAACA